rnacentral:snRNA from 1 species
GUGCUCACUUUGGCAGCACAUACUGAAAAAAAUUGGAAUGAUACAGAGAAGAUUAGCAUGACCCUUGUGCAAGGAUGACAUGCAAAUUCAUGAUGCUUUCCAUAUUAAA